rnacentral:rRNA from 1 species
GUCCUUUAGAAUUUAAUUUAAGGUCUAACCUGCCCACUGAUUUAUUUUAAAUGGCCGCAGUAAUUUGACUGUGCAAAGGUAGCAUAAUCAUUAGUUUUUUAAUUGAAAGCUUGUAUGAAAGGUUGGACGAGGUAAAAUCUGUCUCUAAUUAAUUUAAUUUAGAAUUUAACUUUUAAGUCAAAAGGCUUAAAUAUAAUUAAAAGACGAGAAGACCCUAUAGAUCUUUAUAAUUUAUUUAUUAAAUUUAAUUAAGAAUUUUUUAAAUUUUAUUAAUUUAAUUAUUUUAUUGGGGUAAUAUAAAGAUUAAAUUAAUUCUUUUUUUUUAUUAACAUUAAUUUAUGGUUUUAUGAUCCAAUUUUAUUGGCUAUAAGAUUAAGUUACCUUAGGGAUAACAGCGUUAUUUUUUUAGAGAGUUCUUAUCGAUAAAAAAGUUUACGACCUCGAUGUUGGAUUAAAGAUUAUUUCAGGUGUAGAAGUUUGAAAAUUUUGGUCUGUUCGACCAUUAAAUCUUUACAUGAUCUGAGUUCAGACCGGUGUAAGCCAGGUCGGUUUCUAUCUUUAAUAAAUUAAAAUAUUUUAGUACGAAAGGACCAAUUAUUUAAUAUAAAAUAUUUAAAUUUUGAUUAUUAUUAA